UGGGGAAUAUUGGGCAAUGGAGGCAACUCUGACCCAGCAAUGCCGCGUGAGUGAAGAAGGUCUUCGGAUUGUAAAGCUCUGUGGAGAGGGACGAAAAAAAUGACUGUACCUCUAAAGCAAGCCACGGCAAACUACGUGCCAGCAGCCGCGGUAAUACGUAGGUGGCGAGCGUUGUCCGGAAUGACUGGGCGUAAAGGGUGCGUAGGCGGUUUGUCAAGUUGGAAGCGUAAUCCCGGGGCUUAACUCCGGUGCUACUUCCAAAACUGAUGAACUUGAGUGUGGGAGAGGUAAGUGGAAUUCCUGGUGUAGCGGUGAAAUGCGUAGAUAUCAGGAGGAACAUCGGUGGCGAAAGCGCUUUACUGGACCAUUAUUGACGCUGAGGAACGAAAGCCAGGGGAGCAAAUG
rnacentral:rRNA from 1 species